rnacentral:tRNA from 1 species
UCUCUGGUGGCUCAGAUGUUGAAGAAUCUGCUUGCAAUGCAGGAGACCCAGGUUUCAUCCCUGGUUGGAGAA